UUUCUUCCCACCACGGGGGGUGGCAGUACCUCAGUCCAUAGGGAUUUGGGUUGGGAACCGGAGGGUCACUGGUUCAAGUCCCCGUAUGGACCAAAAAUUAGGGAGUGUGGAUUGGUGGCUGGAGAGAUGCCACUUCACCUCCAGGGCACUGCCAGG